rnacentral:tRNA from 1 species
GUUAAUGUAGCUUAACAUUUAAAGCAAGGCACUGAAAAUGCCUAGAUGAGUACUAUGAUACUCCAUAAACA